UCUACGGUGAGGACUUGAUAUGCAUCACAUGGCACAUUUCAAAAUAAAAGCCCUCUUAUUGUGACAGAUAAUUUUAUUCUCAUGAAGGCAGGUUGGACUCUGAAGGAGCUUCGCUGGGAGGAAUAAAAGAUCCUGCAGCGUCGAUCCUUCAGAGACCAAACAGAGCGCCGCACCUCGACUGAUGGGGCGAACUCACCUUCCAGCUGCUCCGUGGUGACGAGGCCGAGGGCGACCAUGAAGGCCAUUUUCUGCAAGAAAUGAAGAAGAAUGGAGUCAUUCUGCGCCUCUAGGAAAGAUUCAGCUGUAAAACCAAACUGGACUUCACCUCUGGGUCCUCCUUCUUCUUCUUUGGAGGAGAUUUUACAGUUGGAGCCUCCUGAGAGGAGAGGUCAGCCUGGACCCCUGGGGACCCCUCAGUGCUGCUGGGGGCCUGGGGCUGGAUUAUGAUCACCUGGAAACACAAAGUCCUCACAUUAAAACACGUUUCAAAA